AACGAACGCUGGCGGCAGGCUUAACACAUGCAAGUCGAACGCCCCGCAAGGGGAGUGGCAGACGGGUGAGUAACGCGUGGGAAUCUACCUAGUUCUACGGAACAACAGUUGGAAACGACUGCUAAUACCGUAUACGCCCUAUGGGGGAAAGAUUUAUCGGAAUUAGAUGAGCCCGCGUAAGAUUAGCUAGUUGGUGAGGUAAUGGCUCACCAAGGCGACGAUCUUUAGCUGGUCUGAGAGGAUGAUCAGCCACACUGGGACUGAGACACGGCCCAGACUCCUACGGGAGGCAGCAGUGGGGAAUAUGGGACAAUGGGCGCAAGCCUGAUCCAGCCAUGCCGCGUGAGUGAUGAAGGCCUUAGGGUUGUAAAGCUCUUUCAGUAGGGAAGAUAAUGACGGUACCUACAGAAGAAGCCCCGGCUAACUUCGUGCCAGCCGCCGCCGUAAAAC
rnacentral:rRNA from 1 species